rnacentral:rRNA from 1 species
CGGCAGCCUAACACAUGCAAGUCGNGGCGGUAACAGGAAAGCGCUUGCGCUUUUGCUGACGAGCGGCGGACGGGUGAGUAAUGUCUGGGGAUCUGCCCGAGGGCGGGGGAUAACCACUGGAAACGGUGGCUAAUACCGCAUAAUGUCGCAAGACCAAAGUGGGGGACCUGAAAGGGCCUCACGCCGUCGGAUGAACCCAGAUGGGAUUAGCUGGUAGGUAGGGUAAUGGCCUACCUAGGCGACGAUCCCUAGCUGGUCUGAGAGGAUGACCAGCCACACUGGGACUGAGACACGGCCCAGACUCCUACGGGAGGCAGCAGUGGGGAAUAUUGCACAAUGGGCGCAAGCCUGAUGCAGCCAUGCCGCGUGUAUGAAGAAGGCCUUCGGGUUGUAAAGUACUUUCAGCGGGGAGGAAGGCCAUGCCGCGUGUAUGAAGAAGGCCUUCGGGUUGUAAAGUACUUUCAGCGGGGAGGAAGGGUUGAGCCUGAACAGGGCUGGGCCUUGACGUUACCCGCAGAAGAAGCACCGGCUAACUCCGUGCCAGCAGCCGCGGUAAUACGGAGGGUGCGAGCGUUAAUCGGAAUGACUGGGCGUAAAGCGCACGCAGGCGGUCAAUUAAGUUAGAUGUGAAAUCCCCGGGCUCAACCUGGGAACGGCAUCUAAGACUGGUUGACUGGAGUCUCGUAGAGGGGGGUAGAAUUCCAUGUGUAGCGGUGAAAUGCGUAGAGAUGUGGAGGAAUACCGGUGGCGAAGGCGGCCCCCUGGACGAAGACUGACGCUCAGGUGCGAAAGCGUGGGGAGCAAACAGGAUUAGAUACCCUGGUAGUCCACGCUGUAAACGAUGUCGAUUUGGAGGUUGUGGCCCUGAGCUGUGGCUUCCGAAGCUAACGCGUUAAAUCGACCGCCUGGGGAGUACGGCCGCAAGGUUAAAACUCAAAUGAAUUGACGGGGGCCCGCACAAGCGGUGGAGCAUGUGGUUUAAUUCGAUGCAACGCGAAGAACCUUACCUACUCUUGACAUCCUCAGAAUUUGCUGGAGACAGCGAAGUGCCUUCGGGAACUGAGAGACAGGUGCUGCAUGGCUGUCGUCAGCUCGUGUUGUGAAAUGUUGGGUUAAGUCCCGCAACGAGCGCAACCCUUAUCCUUUGUUGCCAGCGCGUGAUGGUGGGAACUCAAAGGAGACUGCCGGUGAUAAACCGGAGGAAGGUGGGGAUGACGUCAAGUCAUCAUGGCCCUUACGAGUAGGGCUACACACGUGCUACAAUGGCGGAUACAAAGUGAAGCGACCUCGCGAGAGCAAGCGGAACACACAAAGUCUGUCGUAGUCCGGAUUGGAGUCUGCAACUCGACUCCAUGAAGUCGGAAUCGCUAGUAAUCGUAGAUCAGCAUGCUACGGUGAAUACGUUCCCGGGCCUUGUACACACCGCCCGUCACACCAUGGGAGUGGGUUGCAAAAGAAGUCGGUAGCUUAACCUUUUUGGAAGGGCGCCUAACCACCUUGUGUGGGCUCAUGAACUGGGGGGUGAAAAGUCGUAACAGGG